GAUGAAGAACGCAGCGAAAUGCGAUAAGUAAUGUGAAUCGCAGAAUUCAGUGAAUCAUCGAAUCUUUGAACGCACCUUGCGCUCCUUGGUAUUCCGAGGAGCAUGCCUGUUUGAGUGUCAUGAAAUUCUCAACCUUUUCAGCUUUCUUUGUUGAUCAGGCUUGGAUGUGGGAGUAUGCGGGCUUCUCAGAAGUCGGCUAUCCUGAAAUGCAUUAGCGGGACCUUUGUUGCCUGGCUUUGGUGUGAUAAUUAUCUACGCCAUUGUAGUCAAGCAGCUUAAAAUGAGGUUUCAGCUUCUAACCGUCUCCCCUGAGACAACUUUUUGACAAUUUGACCUCAAAUCAGGUAGGACUACCCGCUGAACUUAAGCAUAUCAAUAAGCGGAGGA
rnacentral:misc_RNA from 1 species